rnacentral:rRNA from 1 species
GAUGAACGCUGGCGGCGUGCUUAACACAUGCAAGUCGAACGAAGCAUUUAAGACAGAUUACUUCGGUUUGAAGUCUUUUAUGACUGAGUGGCGGACGGGUGAGUAACGCGUGGGUAACCUGCCUCAUACAGGGGGAUAGCAGCUGGAAACGGCUGGUAAUACCGCAUAAGCGCACAGUACCACAUGGUACAGUGUGAAAAACUCCGGUGGUAUGAGAUGGACCCGCGUCUGAUUAGCCUGUUGGCGGGGUAACGGCCCACCAAGGCGACGAUCAGUAGCCGACCUGAGAGGGUGACCGGCCACAUUGGGACUGAGACACGGCCCAGACUCCUACGGGAGGCAGCAGUGGGGAAUAUUGCACAAUGGAGGAAACUCUGAUGCAGCGACGCCGCGUGAGUGAAGAAGUAGUUCGCUAUGUAAAGCUCUAUCAGCAGGGAAGAUAGUGACGGUACCUGACUAAGAAGCUCCGGCUAAAUACGUG